rnacentral:rRNA from 1 species
UACAGAGGUCUCAAGCGUUGUUCGGAUUCAUUGGGCGUAAAGGGUGCGUAGGCGGCGGGGCAAGUCUGAUGUGAAAUCCCGGGGCUCAACCCCGGAACUGCAUUGGAUACUGCCUUGCUAGAGUACUGGAGAGGAGACUGGAAUUUACGGUGUAGCAGUGAAAUGCGUAGAGAUCGUAGGGAAGACCAAUGGCGAAGGCAAGUCUCUGGACAGUUACUGACGCUGAGGCACGAAGGCCAGGGGAGCAAACGGG